UACAGAGGUCCCAAGCGUUGUUCGGAUUCAUUGGGCGUAAAGGGUGCGUAGGUUGUGGGGUAAGUUGGAUGUGAAAUGCCGGGGCUCAACCCUAGAACUGCAUUCAAUACUGCCUCGCUUGAGUGCUGGAAAGGAGACUGGAAUUUACGGUGUAGCAGUGAAAUGCGUAGAUAUCGUAAGGAAGACCAGUGGCGAAGGCGAGUCUCUGGACAGCUACUGACACUGAGGCACGAAGGCCAGGGGAGCAAACGGG
rnacentral:rRNA from 1 species